UACGUAGGGUCCGAGCGUUGUCCGGAAUUAUUGGGCGUAAAGGGCUCGUAGGCGGUUCGUCACGUCGGGAGUGAAAACUCGGAGCUUAACUCCGAGCCUGCUUCCGAUACGGGCAGACUAGAGGUAGGCAGGGGAGAGCGGAACUCCUGGUGUAGCGGUGGAAUGCGCAGAUAUCAGGAAGAACACCAAUGGCGAAGGCAGCUCUCUGGGACGGUACUGACGCUGAGACGCGAAAGCGUGGGGAGCGAACAGG
rnacentral:rRNA from 1 species